AGGAAAUAGAAAAAAUCGAGUAGAAAAGUUGUGCACCGUUUUACGAGUUUUGCAAUAAUUAUCAAGAUAUUAAUUCAAGGGAGUUCAAGAAGGCUAUAUACAUAUUAUUUGCAGGCAAAUCUUUGAGUAAUAAAAUAUUGAUAUUUUCUACUUAAUCUAAAAAUUAAGAUUUUCUGAAAGUACCUUGCUAAAAUCUACAAAUUGUAACAAAUAACAUUUACUCUAUAAUACAAUUAGUUAUUAUAUUGUA